rnacentral:misc_RNA from 1 species
CUUCCAAGCAUUGACCUCUUGCCUUCCAAAAUUCAUUAAAUAGGAAGCAACUGUGCCUGCCUUUGCGCAACUAAUUUCUAUUUGAUUCAGAAUUUCCAGGGCCUGAUCAAUGGUCUACUCAUGGUGUCUACUUGCCGUGCAUCUUGUUCUUCUUUGGGGUCUAACCCCAAUAGCUGUCCUUGCCAUGCCACCUCCCCCACCAAUUCGAUGCAAUGAUUCUGGCUGCACCCUUUACAACUCCUACGGUGCCUGGAAUGAUCGGAAGGCUUGUAAUGUUCCUAAUGUCUCGUAUCCUUCAUCUGAAGAAGAACUACGCUUGGCUGUGGCAUAUGCUAAUAGAAAUAAACUCAAGGUUAAAGUGGUU